CCUACGGGAGGCAGCAGUGGGGAAUAUUGGGCAAUGGGCGCAAGCCUGACCCAGCAACGCCGCGUGAAGGAAGAAGGCUUUCGGGUUGUAAACUUCUUUUCUCAGGGACGAAGCAAGUGACGGUAUCUGAGGAAUAAGCCACGGCUAACUACGUCCCAGCCGCCGCGGUAAUACGGAGGUGGCAAGCGUUAUCCGGAUUUACGGGGUGUAAGGGGCGUGGAGGCGGGAAAGCAAGUCAGAUGUGAAAACCAUGGGCUCAACCUGUGGCCUGCAUUUGAAACUGUUUUUCUUGAGUGCUGGUGAGGUAGGCGGAAUGCCUAGUGUAGCGGUGAAAUGCGUAGAUAUUAGGAGGAACACCAGUGGCGAAGGCGGUCUACUGGACAGCAACUGACGCUGAGGCGCGAAAGCGUGGGGAGCAAACAGGAUUAGAUACCCCAGUAGUC
rnacentral:rRNA from 1 species